UCAAUUUUAUACAAGUAUAAGUGUCUACGUGUGCACACUCAAAGUUGGAGGGAAUAGAUGUCUGAGGCCAAGUUAAAUGACACAUUUGUGAAUUAUGCCAAAAUAUUACUACUAGUAUUUGCAUGAAAUAAUCUUGAACCUGAAAAAAUCCAUAUUCUUCCAAAGCUUUCACAAGUUGUUGAGCGACAACAGUUUGUUCUUCACCCAAAUCAAUGACUGGAAUUUCCUUGACAAUUGGAACUGAAGCUAGUGGCCUUCCAUGCAUUGGUAAGACAUAAGUUUAAGGAAGUGCUUCUACUUUACUAGAAAUGAUGUUUGCCAUAUUCUUCUUAAUUCUGUGAAUGAAUCUAACUAAAAUAAAAAGAAGUGAAAUUGAGUAAAUAGACAUAAAUUUUUUUUUAUAUAGAAUGUGUGUACCUAGGAAACAAACUUCAAGUUGUUAGUACUCCCAAUCCCUUUUUGUUUGUUUUCCUACAUGAGACGAAGGACUAUUUAUAGGGAAAAGAAUUUCACAUAACAUCCUCCAAGUAUUUGAAAAGUUUCCUUAACAUACCCAAUGUUUCAUAAAUGAUACAGAAUGAUUGGCAAUCCAAUUAUUAGAAAAUCAAAUACUUAUGGACCAGGAGAUAUAUCGUUGGUAUCUAUCCCAACCUAACUAUGUUGGGGGUUUUCCAUAGGAAUGAAGAAAAUUUGGUGUCUUUUAGGGAUGGCAAUGGAGCAUAGCGAAUACGAGACAAGGUGGGGCUAGCUCUUAACAAGGUACAUAAGGGCAAGCUGUAAUGAUCUUGAAUGUCAUUUUUGGAAUUUUCUAGAAUUUUAGCAUUUUUUCCCUCCUGAUAGUUGCCCCGAGUCGUAUUUCAUCAGUUUAUGAGGUUAGAUUUUAAAUUGGAUCGAAAACUUGAGAUUUUUGGAAGUCACAAGAGUUUUUGAAGCUUUUAAGUGGAAAUGGUUAACUUUAGUCAACAUUUGAAGUUUCGAGUCUCGAAAUGGAAUUCAAUCAGCUCCGAAAUGUGAAUUUGGGGUUAGUAGGAAUAUUGGCUCAGGUUUUGGGUAUUUAGAUGAGUUUUGGAAAAGUUUUUGUGUUUUGAAAGUUGAAAACAUAAGAUAGUUGGCCAAGGUGCACAUCUGGUGAUAUCAAGCUCAGAAUAGAAUUCCCACAACUAUGUUAGCUCCGGAAUGUGAUUUUUGAUCUAGAUGCACCGUGGGUUUGGGUCCUAAGGCUUUUGGUUAGAUUUAUACUCAUUAGACGGGAUGCUAGAAAAGUUAAAGCUAAAAUUUAAAUUUUAGUCAACGUUUGAGGUUAGAAAGAUCAUUUUCGAGUUUUGAUAAUUCCACUAGGUUUGAAUGGUGAUAUUUGGUCUAGUUGAAGUUUUGGUUCAGUUCCCGAAAUUUUUGGAUGAGUUUCAUGUCAUUAUUUGAAAAUUUGGAAAUUCUUAAGUUAAAGUUAAAUUUGGUCAACAUCGGGUUAAGAUGACUUUGUUUGGGUGUUGUGAUGAUUUCAUUGAGUCUAAAAUAUGAUUUCCAAGUUACUAGCAUAUUUGGUUUUUGUUCAGGAGGCUCCAGAUGAUUUUGGGUGAAUUUUAAAGCAUUUUGGGUGCUUUGGCGUUGUUUAAGUGAUUUGUGUCAACUAAAAGAUUCGUUAUUAGUUUUAAAGAUCGAAAAAUUAUUCCAAAACUUCUGAAAGUUGGAGCAUGAAUUAUAGGACUUAUCUGCAAAGUUUGGUGUUUUUUUGCUAGGGCAACAAUUGGACUUUUAUUGCAAAAUAUGAAAUAAUUUGUUAUCGAGAAAAAGUGAUAUUUGACUGGGCAAACAAGCACGAAAUUGAGUUUCGAUUGAGCAAGCAGGCCAAUAUCAUUAUUUAAAGCAUUUAGGAAAAGAAUUGGGUCAUUUUUCUAUCGUAUGAGGAAAUUACAACUUCUUAGUGAAAAAAUUUAAGUUGCUGGUUUCUUGUUUAAAUAUUGUGGUUUAGGUAUUUAAAAUUUAAAAUUGUGUUUCAUUUGGUAUUUUGAGCAAAUUAGGAAUUCUAGAGCUCAUAAUCGAGUGAUUCUUGCAGCAUUCUUCUCGAUUUAAUAUGGGGGUUAGUAUCAGAUCCUUAUUUUGGCAUUAUAUCAUGAUUUCUUCAUCUGGUUUUCUUUCUUUGUCCGUGAAUUUCUCAGGAAAAAUUGGGUUUUAUCGAUUUGUACUUUAUUUUUUUUGAAAAAUAUAUAUUUAGGAUCAUUAUGUUAUCUGUAAACUGAUCUUGGCAUAAACUAGUUGAUUUAUCAAUUAUUUUCAUCAUACUAAUUGUGUAUACACUUGAGAAUUUGGGGUUCUCCCGAUAAAGUUAAAGUUUGAUAAAUCGAGGAAUAUGAACUCCUCUUUUUUUUAUGAAACUUCAUAUUUGAACUUCCCAAAGCAUGGGUAAGAUAUUUUUCAAGAAAUAUUUCAAAUUUGAGUCAGGGUCUCGAAUCCGAUUAUUGGGGUUUUUCUCAUAAACUUUGAUCUUGUGUUUUAGGCUUUUAGGAUGAUUUCAAACUCAUUUUAAAUGCAAUUUCACGUGUGAAUUCCUAAAUCUUUGGGUAUCAUAUUAUUAUAUAAAAAUGUCAUAUUUAACCUUUUGCCCUCGAGAUUGACUUUUUGGGUCAUUUCAAAUCAGAUGUUCAAAAUCAACAUUAUGGGUUCCGUUGUUCAUGUGUUUAGUUAGGUGGAUUCGGUGACUCAACGUGAAAGGGAGGCACAAGUGCCGAGUUGAUUUCACUCUCUUUUAAGGAAAGUGGACCUAUUUGACCCUUCGUUAACUGUAUUGAACCUUGUAUGCUUUAUUGUGUAAUUGAGAGUAAUGAGAAUUGGUGAAGGGUUUCAUAAUUCUUAUUCAUUGUUAAAUGUUUAUUGAAUUCUAGUGAUGAUAUUGUAGGGUAAAAAGAAAUUUGUUGGUAUAAUAAUGUAUGAUGUGUCAUGAAUGGUUAUGUUGACUCACUUUGAUGAUAUGCUAUGAUUGUGUGAGUGUGGAUUGAUUAUUGAUAUAGAAUAUAUCGUCUUCCCAUUAUUCAUGUGAACAUGCUUUUUUGCAUUGAUUCUGAAAUGCUAUAAUGAGAUUUGGAUAUAUUUAUGCCAAAGGAAAAUGGUUCGGACAAUUGAUACAUAUGGCGGAGGGAAAUGGUGUCGGUAAAUGAGUUAUGCUGAAGGUAAAUGGUUCUAGCAAAUGAGAUAUGCCG
rnacentral:lncRNA from 1 species